rnacentral:sRNA from 1 species
CGCGCACAGGCGCCGUCGCUUGGAGGAGCAAGGUGCCUCCCAGCCCGCAGGGGCGCCGCGCGCAAGCCCGCGGGCUCUUCGGUGGCUCUGCCCCGGGACUACACCUGGAGGCGGCCCCGGACGGGGAUGGUCAGCGGCUGCUGCCGUCUGGCUCGCGAGCGGGACGCUGUGAGGGCACCAUGGCGCUGACUCCCGGGUGGGGGUCCUCGGCGGGGCCGGUCCGGCCGGAGCUCUGGCUGCUGCUGUGGGCAGCCGCGUGGCGCCUGGGUGCCUCGGCGUGCCCCGCCCUCUGCACCUGCACCGGAACCACGGUGGACUGCCACGGCACGGGGCUGCAGGCCAUUCCCAAGAAUAUACCGCGGAACACCGAGCGCCUGGAACUCAAUGGCAACAACAUCACUCGGAUCCAUAAGAAUGACUUUGCGGGGCUCAAGCAGCUGCGGGUGCUGCAGCUGAUGGAGAACCAGAUUGGAGCAGUGGAACGUGGUGCUUUUGAUGACAUGAAGGAGCUGGAGCGGCUGCGACUGAACCGAAACCAGCUGCACAUGUUACCGGAACUGCUGUUCCAGAACAACCAGGCUUUGUCAAGACUGAAUGGUCCAGGGCAUCAAAGGCCAGGCCCUUUCUGUAGGAAGGUGCUGUGCAGGGUAUUUCUCCAUGGCAAGCACUUGGAAGAACCCGCAGUUCAUCCAGAUUUGUGAGCUGCCGCUGACAGUGUGGGUACAAGGGUGUUCUGCAGGCAGGCAUGCUUGUGGACGGUGAUGCCAGCCUUUACAGGGGCUCAUUCUUACCCAUCUCACUGCGCCUUUAGUAACCUGCCUGGAGCUGAAUAUUUACUCAUUCAACUAAGCCCUUCUUGAACCUAUUUCUAUUUUCAGCUCUUUCUACCUUUUAGGGUCAUGAGGUCUGUAAGGUUAUUAACCAUGGUAUAAGAUCAUAUUUUUAUUU